CUAUGCCCAGCCCAUUUUUUUUUCUUUUUUAAACACUAACCUCUUUGUGUGUGCGUGUGUGUGUGUGUUUUAAUGGAGAGGCCUCCUUAGCUUUACUUCCCUUGAGUGCCAGGUAUGGGUGUGAGUGUUUUGAAUGGUUUUUAUUUCCUUUUAAUCAUGUGCUUGUUCCCAUGUCUUCACCUGCUUUCCUUCUCCAGAAGCUCUUACAGGGUAAGUGCCCAAAGAACGGCCACAGCUUUGAAUACUUGUGGGAGGCUUGAGCUUCCUGAGUUGUCGCUGUCACCUUUGCAGAAAGCCUCAGCCAUUUUCUUUCUGUGCAGUUGCAGCUCCACCCCCGGGAAAGCGGGGCACUUUGAUAACGAGGUGUCCUGGGUUUUUCGAGUGCUGACCCCAGCGUAGACAGUUCAGACCGCUAACUUACAGGUCAGCAGCUCCUGACCCUGCUUCUGCAGGCACCCUGGGGUGUUUUCAUUUAUCUCAUGGAGAGAGGCCACGAAUAUCCCGAGUGGCUCUCUGACUUGUUUGUCCUGGAGCCAUUCCCUCCCAUUUCAGCUCCGGGUAGGUUGGGAAUCUUUAUUGGGAAUUUUACCACUUUCAGCAGCAUCUAGUUUGUACCACACGCUACAUUUUGUCACCUCCAAGAUGCUGUUAAGACACUACUGUUUUUAUGUACCUUGGAAAGAAAAAAGUGCUGC
rnacentral:lncRNA from 10 species